rnacentral:rRNA from 1 species
GACGAACGCUGGCGGCGUGCCUAACACAUGCAAGUCGAACGAGUGGCGGACGGGUGAGUAAUGUCUGGGAAACUGCCUGAUGGAGGGGGAUAACUACUGGAAACGGUAGCUAAUACCGCAUACCAUCAGAUGUGCCCAGAUGGGAUUAGCUUGUUGGUGGGGUACCGGCGCACCAAGGCGACGAUCCCUAGCUGGUCUGAGAGGAUGACCAGCGACACUGGAAAUGAAACACGGUCCAUACUCCGACGGGAGGCAGCAGUGGGGAAUAUGGCACAAUGGGCGCAAGCCUGAUGCAGCCAGGCCGCGUGUAUGAAGAAGGCCUUCGGGUUGUAAAGUACUUUCAGCGGGGAGGCGUUACCCGCAGAAGAAGCACCGGCUAACUCCGUGCCAGCCGCCGCGGUAAUUC